GUUGGCGAUCCUCAGAGGAGCUGCCUGCCUUACAGAAGACCUUCAUCUAUCUCUUUGUGCCCUUUAAAUGGCAGGGAUUUUACACAGGGUUGCCUGCCCCUGGUUUUCUGUGGCCCUAGCUGUUGCCCAUGUUUAUUUCUUCUGCUGCACUGUUUAUUACUAAAACCCUUUUGUGAUUCUAAUCCACGGAAAAUCCUUUCAAUUAAUCCUCUUCCUGACUUCCAGCAGUUGCUGUGAACAUAGUGAUAGGUAUGUGCCAUGAUGUGUGUGUAGAGAUCAGAAGACAGCUUUGGUAUGUGACACAGCAUCAGGUUUGCUUGGUGAGAGGUAUGAAAUUCAGGUCUCUCUACAUGCGAUGUAUGCAAGCCUGCUAUCAAGUGCCAAUGUAUUAGUUAAAGCAUGUGACCACCUUUCCACCUAGAUGCAACUGUUAAAGAUAACCCAAUAAAACA